rfam:Rhodnius prolixus Rhodnius_prolixus-3.0.3-238.16, whole genome shotgun sequence.
UGCCUUGCGCAGUGGCAAUAUCGCGUAACCAAUGAAGGUCUCUCCUGAGGUGCGUUUAGUGCUAGUUGAAAACUUUUACCAAACUUUUUGGUAAAGACUAGAGCACGAUCAAUUUAAAUAGUAUAGUAAUAAAUAUUGUCAUAUUGUUAAG